CCUACGUGCGGCAGCAGUGGGGAAUAUUGCACAAUGGGGGAAACCCUGAUGCAGCGACGCCGCGUGUGUGAAGAAGUAUUUCGGUAUGUAAAGCUCUAUCAGCAGGGAAGAAAAUGACGGUACCUGAUUAAGCAGCCCCCGCUAACUACGUGCCAGCAGCCGCGGUCAUACGUAGGGGGCAAACGUUAUCCGGUUUUACUGGGUGUAACGGGAGCGUAGACUGCAGCACAAGUCUGGCGUGAAAUGCCGGGGCUUAACCCCGGAACUGCUUUGGAAACUGUGCGGCUAGAGUGCAGGAGAGGUAAGUGGAAUUCCUAGUGUAGCGGUGAAAUGCGUAGAGAUUAGGAGGAACACCAGUGGCGAAGGCGGCUUACUGGACUGUAACUGACGUUGAGGCUCGAAAGCGUGGGGAGCAAACAGGAUUAGAUACCCGAGUAGUC
rnacentral:rRNA from 1 species